CAAAAUGUAGCUUAGUACAAAGCCCCCCGCUUACACCGAGGAGACAUCUGUUUAACUCAGAUCAUUUUGA
rnacentral:tRNA from 1 species